CCUACGGGAGGCAGCAGUGAGGAAUAUUGGUCAAUGGACGCGAGUCUGAACCAGCCAUGCCGCGUGCAGGAAGACGGUUCUAUGAGUCGUAAACCGCUUUUGUACGGGGGCAAAGCCGGAUACGUGUAUCCGGUUGAAAGUAUCGUACGAAUAAGGAUCGGCUAACUCCGUGCCAGCAGCCGCGGUAAUACGGAGGAUUCAAGCGUUAUCCGGUUUUAUUGGGUUUAAAGGGUGCGUCGGCGGUUUGAUAAGUUAGAGGGGAAAUCCCGGGGCUCAACUCCGGCACUGCCUUUGCUACUGUCUGGCUCGAGUUUAGUUGCGGUAGGCGGAAUGUAUGGUGUAGCGGUGAAAUGCAUAGAGAUCAUACAGAACACCGAUUGCGAAGGCAGCUUACCAAACUACGACUGACGUUGAGGCACGAAAGCGUGGGGAGCAAACAGGAUUAGAUACCCCUGUAGUC
rnacentral:rRNA from 1 species